UCGGAUAUGGUGUAACGGCUAACAUUGCCGCCUCUCAGAUGAUCACCUCGUCCACGCGGCAGCUCGGGGUUCGAUUCCCCGUAUCCGAA